rnacentral:rRNA from 1 species
UUGGAGGGCAAGUCUGGUGCCAGCAGCCGCGGUAAUUCCAGCUCCAAUAGCGUAUAUUAAAAUUGUUGCAGUUAAAAAGCUCGUAGUUGAAUUUCUGCUGCAUUUCAUUUCUCUUUCUGAGUUUGUUUUUGCGGCUUAUUUCGGUUUGAUUUUUUCUUUCCGGAUGAUUACUUUGAGAAAAUUAGAGUGCUCAAAGCAGGCUUUUGCCUUGAAUAGUUUAGCAUGGAAUAAUAAAGUAGGACUUUGGUUCUAUUUUGUUGGUUUUAGGUACCAAAGUAAUGGUUAAUAGGAACAGUUGGGGGCAUUCGUAUUUAACUGUCAGAGGUGAAAUUCUUAGAUUUGUUAAAGACGAACUACUGCGAAAGCAUUUGCCAAGGAUGUUUUCAUUAAUCAAGAACGAAAGUUAGGGGAUCGAAGACGAUCAGAUACCGU